UACGUAGGGGGCUAGCGUUGUCCGGAUUUAUUGGGCGUAAAGAGCGUGUAGGCGGCCAGGUAGGUCUGCUGUGAAAACUCGAGGCUCAACCUCGAGACGUCGGCGGAAACCACCUGGCUAGAGUCCGGAAGAGGAGAGUGGAAUUCCUGGUGUAGCGGUGAAAUGCGUAGAUAUCAGGAGGAACACCGGUGGUGUAGACGGCUCACUGGACCAUAACUGACGCUGAGACACGAAAGCGUGGGUAGCAAACAGG
rnacentral:rRNA from 1 species